GUUGGGCAGAAAGAGGAGGCUCAAAACAAUGUCUGUGGCAAAUUCUGCCGAGGCAUUCCUGUCCAUGCCAAACAAACGACACAAGUUCUACCUACAAUUUUGACAAUAAUGUAACUGAUCUUUGUAGUGUGAACUGGGAAAAAUCAAAUAGACACUGCAACAACAAAAUCUCAGUGUCUAAACUUGAAACCAACUGUGUCCAUGUCAGCUCUUACCAAACAAUUUCUCUGGCCAAUGGAGAGAUCUGCAGUAACAGCAAAUGCACAAACUGCUACAAUAAUACUGAGCAUGAAUCAGAGAUGUGCAAUACUAUAAAGGUUUGUCUGGAAAGGAAUCUAGGGGCUUACCUACCUAAGAUCUGCAAAAGGAAACGAGGGAAUGUCAAGGGUAGACGACAUGAAUAAUAAGUACAGUCCAUUGUACUGUUGUGUACCUGGGUGUCAACUGUUAAGACAAAUCAUACUUCAAAUACUUUCCACAAAUUUCCAGUGGACAAAAAAGGCAUAUUUUAGAUUUAGGCCAAUUAUUUUGGUCUGUGGGCAGGGCUACCCAACACAACGCCGUAAAAAAUAGAAACCAAACAAUUGACACAAUUUUCCUGUCGCUUGUUGCAGUUGCAUCUAAGACAAAAAAGAUUUAUAUGGAAGAAAUAUCUUUUAUCACUUGUUACUUUAAAGCAUUGUGAUUGGUUAGGAGACAGUGUUACUCAAACUAAAACCAUUACAUUGAUCUCUGCUAUUGAACGUGAAAUAUUGGCCCAUUUGUUUUGGAGAGGCCAGUUGCAGACAAGCACUCUUUCAGGGACUGUAAAUCAGGUUUAAAGAAUGUUGCUCUGGCCACAGUGUGUAUGACACGUGGAAGGAACACAGCCAAAUGUAAUGGGUUCUUCCAUCGCACAAGCAGCUUGUAUCCUCAAGUGGCAUUUUAAAAGAGAGUGAGCAACCUCACUUCUAUAUCCCGUGACCAUGUUCACAUUUAGUAUGCGUUUCCCACCAGCCUGCACU